rnacentral:misc_RNA from 1 species
GAUGAAGAACGUAGCGAAAUGCGAUAAGUAGUGUGAAUUGCAGAAUUCAGUGAAUCAUCGAAUCUUUGAACGCACAUUGCGCCCUUUGGUAUUCCAAAGGGCAUGCCUGUUCGAGCGUCAUUUGUACCCUCAAGCUUUGCUUGGUGUUGGGCGUCUUGUCUCUAGCUUUGCUGGAGACUCGCCUUAAAGUAAUUGGCAGCCGGCCUACUGGUUUCGGAGCGCAGCACAAGUCGCACUCUCUAUCAGCAAAGGUCUAGCAUCCAUUAAGCCUUUUUUUUCAACUUUUGACCUCGGAUCAGGUAGGGAUACCCGCUGAACUUAAGCAUAUCAAUAAGCGGAGGA